CCUGACAGAAACCAGGAGUUCCCUUUGGCCAGAGGAACCCUAAUCACUGACUGUUACUUGGGCUUCAUGGGGUUCAUCUACACCCUGGUCACUAAGUCAAUCAAGACUACAAGGAUUCCACCUACAAGAAAGUGUGCCAGCUGGUUGUGAAGGUGGUUGAUGAAGUCCCAGCUGGUGGACACCCUGGCCCUGCAGAUCAGCAAGUCACGGCAAGGAGCCCCUGCUGCCCAAAGUGGGCCUGGGCUGCCUCAUCGUCCUCCUGCAGAACCAAAAUGAGGGCAUUGUUGGCCCAAAAACCUCUGGCCAGAUGUGUGCUGUGACUUCUUUGGUCUCCACCCUCCAGGCCACGGCAUCAGGCCCUUACUCUGCUGCCUGGUUCACCCUGUUGUCUCCUCCAGCACUG